GAUGAACGCUGGCUGCGUGCCUAAUACAUGCAAGUCGAGCGAACAGACGAGGAGCUUGCUCCUCUGACGUUAGCGGCGGACGGGUGAGUAACACGUGUAUAACCUACCUAUAAGACUGGGAUAACUUCGGGAAACCGGAGCUAAUACCGGAUAAUAUAUUGAACCGCAUGGUUCAAUAGUGAAAGACGGUUUUGCUGUCACUUAUAGAUGGAUCCGCGCCGCAUUAGCUAGUUGGUAAGGUAACGGCUUACCAAGGCAACGAUGCGUAGCCGACCUGAGAGGGUGUUCGGCCACACUGGAACUGAGACACGGUCCAGACGCCUACGGGAGGCAGCAGUAGGGAAUCUUCCGAAAUGGGCGAAAGCCUGACGGAGCAACGCCGCGUGAGUGAUGAAGGUCUUCGGAUCGUAAAACUCUGUUAUUAGGGAAGAACAAAUGUGUAAGUAACUAUGCACGUCUUGACGGUACCUAAUCAGAAAGCCACGGCUAACUACGUG
rnacentral:rRNA from 1 species